rnacentral:tRNA from 1 species
CACUAAGAAGCUAAUAUGGGAAUAGCAUUAGCCUUUUAAGCUAAAAAAGGUGCCCCCCAAACACCCUUAGUGA